GGCCCCCGGCGGUCGGGGUGGUCCCAGACGCUGGGCUUCAAACCCAGUUAUCCUGCGGAGGGAUAGGGGUUCGACCCCCUGGGGGCCG
rnacentral:tRNA from 1 species